rnacentral:rRNA from 2 species
CUUGCUGCUUCGCUGACGAGUGGCGGACGGGUGAGUAAUGUCUGGGAAACUGCCUGAUGGAGGGGGAUAACUACUGGAAACGGUAGCUAAUACCGCAUAACGUCGCAAGACCAAAGAGGGGGACCUUCGGGCCUCUUGCCAUCAGAUGUGCCCAGAUGGGAUUAGCUAGUAGGUGGGGUAACGGCUCACCUAGGCGACGAUCCCUAGCUGGUCUGAGAGGAUGACCAGCCACACUGGAACUGAGACACGGUCCAGACUCCUACGGGAGGCAGCAGUGGGGAAUAUUGCACAAUGGGCGCAAGCCUGAUGCAGCCAUGCCGCGUGUAUGAAGAAGGCCUUCGGGUUGUAAAGUACUUUCAGCGGGGAGGAAGGCGAUGCGGUUAAUAACCGCGUCGAUUGACGUUACCCGCAGAAGAAGCACCGGCUAACUCCGUGCCAGCAGCCGCGGUAAUACGGAGGGUGCAAGCGUUAAUCGGAAUUACUGGGCGUAAAGCGCACGCAGGCGGUCUGUCAAGUCGGAUGUGAAAUCCCCGGGCUCAACCUGGGAACUGCAUCCGAAACUGGCAGGCUUGAGUCUCGUAGAGGGGGGUAGAAUUCCAGGUGUAGCGGUGAAAUGCGUAGAGAUCUGGAGGAAUACCGGUGGCGAAGGCGGCCCCCUGGACGAAGACUG